AUUCAGGCAUCCAAGGGAUUAUGUGGAUUGUGGUUUGUGUUUCUCAUCCUACUAUUUUUCCCCUCUAUACCAACUUGAGCGGAAAUGAAAACCAAGCUGCAACAAGUAAAAUUUCUUCAUUUGGCGUGAGUUGCUUCUUUCCGACCGAUCCUUCGUUUCUUUGUAGUGUACCGAAGUCAAUUGAUUAACUGAAGAAUCACAAGUUUGCUGGUUGCCUCGUUCAAUUGAAUUACCCCGAGAAUCACAAGUCAACUGGUUCGAUUGAAAUUGGUAAAUCCAAACACAUAAUGAGAUAUCUCACCAUCUCUUGCUAAUAUAACGUGGUAGUGGGAGCCGUAGAAGAGUGCACAAAGACUCUCAUACUACCAAGUAUUAAAUCUAGUCGUUAAAUCUAGAAUCUAAAGCUAGUUUCUAAUAACCUUAAGAAGAUUGCUACCUACAAGAACUUCACAAAUAAAAAUGAGACCUUCACUUUUUGAUCCCCAAGCUCCUUGGUAUUUUUUGUAUUUGAGAGAUCUAACACAAGUGUUUGCAUUAGGAUCACAAGCGUGCGGCAAAAAAAUGUUAUUAUCAAGGACAUUCAAAGAUACAAGCUGGGAAAUCCCAGGACAUUUCAUUAUCUUAACUAGUCCAACUGUUAUCAGCUCGGUGGGUAGAUGAUUCCAAGAAUAUCUGGAAACUAAAAAAGCUAAGGACAUCAAUUCUGAUGAACAGGAUGGUUGUCUGGCUCACCUGACAGAGGCAAAAGAAAGCCCAUAUACACAUUUUUGCACUUUUCCCGCCCUUUAUUGUUUAUUAUGUAUGAUUUGUUCACUAUGCAAUUUUUCGAGGGGUCAAGCUCUUGGUACUUGAUGGUACCGGGAUUAUUUUCCGAAUGGCCGGUCGAGAAUUCGAGCACCCCCGAAUACCUCAACUGGCUAGGCUCAAUUCCCGAAUACAAGAUAUUAUCUCCGGGCUUAAUUCUUGAAUAUCGAGUGUUGUUGGUAGACAUUUCCAAAUAUUGGAUGCUAUCUUCAGGUGUAUCUCCGCGAGUACCUACUAUAGCCUUCGGGUAAAUAAUCCUGAACGCUAAAGAGCAAUAUUGCUCAGGUAAGCUACUGUUCAGAUUAUGACUUCCAAUCAUAGAGAUUUCAUUUGUUAGACUUGGUUCCUUGAUCACCUUCCAAUAAACAAGUGGUGCCUCGUGAAGGGAGAGACUUUUAGUGGUUGUCAUAUUUGGUCCCUGAUUGCCUUCCUAUGAGAACGUGGCGUCUUAUGAAUGAAGACCCUUCUAACGGGAGUCUGAUCCGAUCCCCUUAUCGACCUUCAUGGGAUGGCUUCCAUGUCAGCCUAUGUGGAGAUGCUUUUCCACACAGGCACCAUAAAAGGUACGUGAGAGUGAUUAAUUUGAGCAUCGAAGUGGUCACAUAGGUAGAGAUGGCCAAGCCCUAACAUUCUUUUCCUCUCAAGUCAUCUGAUCCUAUUGGAGAUCUGCAGAGAUGACGCGUUGGGCAUGGUGAAUAGAUGAUUGACCAACAAAAGACCUUUUUCUCCCAAAAGAAGUUUUCCUUCGAUCCCGCGCAUAAGGAAACGAGCCAACAAAACGUCAAUGCCUAGAAACCAAGGAGAGUCACGGGCGAAGGCCAUGCGACGCUCAAGUCAGUAUCGAUCUGAACAGGUGGUUGAAGAACAGUAAGAACGCGCACGCGAGAGUAAGUUGUAGAUGUUUGGUGAGCGUACCUUUGUCGUGGAGAGGACUCCUCUUUAAUAUACCAUCUCACAUAACAUCCGCAAUUAUGAGGUCACAACAUAUGUCAGAGGUUGUUAGGUAAGGAAGAGGGUACAACCGAGGAGAUGUGAUGUAAUCGUCCAAGGAAUCUUUCGCUGAUCCAAAUGUAUACCUUUCUUGUUGUUUAUAGUUUUUGUUAUCAAUGAGGUUAAUGAAAAACAUAUGUUGUUAUAA